rnacentral:rRNA from 1 species
AUUGAACGCUGGCGGAAUGCUUUACACAUGCAAGUCGAACGGCAGCACGGGGGCAACCCUGGUGGCGAGUGGCGAACGGGUGAGUAAUACAUCGGAACGUGCCCGGUCGUGGGGGAUAACGUAGCGAAAGUUACGCUAAUACCGCAUACGAUCUGAGGAUGAAAGCGGGGGACCUUCGGGCCUCGCGCGAUCGGAGCGGCCGACGUCAGAUUAGGUAGUUGGUGGGGUAAAGGCCUACCAAGCCGACGAUCUGUAGCUGGUCUGAGAGGACGACCAGCCACACUGGGACUGAGACACGGCCCAGACUCCUACGGGAGGCAGCAGUGGGGAAUUUUGGACAAUGGGCGCAAGCCUGAUCCAGCCAUUCCGCGUGCAGGACGAAGGCCUUCGGGUUGUAAACUGCUUUUGUAUGGAACGAAAAGGCUCUGGCUAAUACCUGGGGCUCAUGACGGUACCGUAAGAAUAAGCACCGGCUAACUACGUG